rnacentral:rRNA from 1 species
AUGCACGCUGGCGGCGUGCCUCAUACCUGCAAGUCGCGCGCACAGAUAAGGAGCUUGCUCCUUUGACGUUAGCGGCGGACGGGUGAGUAACACGUGGGUAACCUACCUAUAAGACUGGGAUAACUUCGGGAAACCGGAGCUAAUACCGGAUAACAUUUGGAACCGCAUGGUUCUAAAGUGAAAGAUGGUUUUGCUAUCACUUAUAGAUGGACCCGCGCCGUAUUAGCUAGUUGGUAAGGUAACGGCUUACCAAGGCAACGAUACGUAGCCGACCUGAGAGGGUGAUCGGCCACACUGGAACUGAGACACGGUCCAGACUCCUACGGGAGGCAGCAGUAGGGAAUCUUCCGCAAUGGGCGAAAGCCUGACGGAGCAACGCCGCGUGAGUGAUGAAGGGUUUCGGCUCGUAAAACUCUGUUAUUAGGGAAGAACAAAUGUGUAAGUAACUGUGCACGUCUUGACGGUACCUAAUCAGAAAGCCACGGCUAACUACGUG